GAUGAACGCUGGCGGCGUGCCUAAUACAUGCAAGUCGAGCGGAAGGACGAGAAGCUUGCUGCUCGGAUGUUAGCGGCGGACGGGUGAGUAACACGUGGAUAACCUACCUAUAAGACUGGGAUAACUUCGGGAAACCGGAGCUAAUACCGGAGGAGAUUUUGAACCGCAUGGGGCAAAAGUGAAAGACGGUCUUGCGGUCACUAAUAGAUGGAUCCGCGCUGCAUUAGCUAGUUGGUAAGGUAACGGCUUACCAAGGCAAGGAUGCAUGGCCGACCUGAGAGGGUGAUCGGCCACACUGGAACUGAGACACGGUCCAGACUCCUACGGGAGGCAGCAGUAGGGAAUCUUCCGCAAUGGGCGAAAGCCUGACGGAGCAACGCCGCGUGAGUGAUGAAGGUCUUCGGAUCGUAAAACUCUGUUAUUAGGGAAGAACAUAUGUGUAAGUAACUGUGCACAUCUUGACGGUACCUAAUCAGAAAGCCCCGCCUAACUACGU
rnacentral:rRNA from 1 species